GUUUGCUGGAAGGAAGAAGAAACAGCAAGUGAGCAAAUGAUAAGCAAGCUCUAACGUUGGUGGGCAAUUUCUGGUCCCUGCACUGAGGGCUGCAUUUUAAAGUACACCUGUCUGGAACUGCUCCCCUGACCCCACCUGUCUUUAGCCAACCCUUCCAUUUCACGCUUGUACAAAUAAGAGGUCUCCACUGUCUCCCCACCCUAAACCACCCUCUAGAAUGCUCAAGUACAAAGAGGACCUCAUGAUGGAUGCCCUCUAGGGAGAAACCCAGUUUCCUCUCUCUCCUGUGACACUAGAAGAGCACUUGACCGCGUGCUGGUAUACUAACGAAAGGAACAUAAAUAAUUGCCUCGCACUGAUUUAGCCCCUUUGUCCUCCUAGCCUCGUCUUGCUGAUGCUGACUGGCAGCAGCUCUCCGGGGCCUCAGGAAGGCGUUUUCUCCAGCUUGGCGUGCAGACACCAGAGACCCAACCUGGAACUAUCUGCAUAAAAAACAGCUAUUCGGCCCCUGAGCUCCAGCUGCAAGGCUCUGUGGGAGACUCCCUGCUGGCUACUGAUGCACAUCAGUGUCCCAGGCAGACCCAUGCAAGGACUUGGGAAGGUUCCUCUAAAUUAUCCAUCCACAGGGCACCAAAACUGCCACAGUAAGUUCCCCAGCUGAAAAACGCCAAGCAUUAUGUUGUCCACUGGCUCGGAGAGGAUUCGGGUCAGUUCCUGGUGCCUGUCAGCAAAGACUAGCCUGCACUCUUAAAUCUGGAAGCAAGCUCAUCGUGCCCAGAAGCCCUGAUUCCAAAGACGGCAUGCCGGAGAAAGACUCGCUCUUGGCCGUUGUCGGAACAAUAUAAUGCCUUCUUAAAGCUAAGAUGGAAAAUAAAUUGAAGGGCGGGACCACAGCUUCAAGGGAAAGCAGGUUUUGCCUGCAGAAGCCCACUCUGUUCAAGUCUCUGGGGAGCGGCUGCCGUCUCGUCAGAAACAUAGGCAAUUACUGGCAAAGCAUCUGGCCUGGGAAGAAGGCAGCUGGCAGGGCAGGCAGCCCUGUGCUUACCAGGGAUCUGGACUACAACUCUCAUAAGCUUCAGGCAGUACAAUCAAAGAUCACAAGAAAACAAACAUAUUUAAGGGGGUUGCAUCUGUCGAAGAACAGCAGCUGGCAGCGAGCUUCAUUGAGAAGAAAGGUUCCUUUGUGAGGAGGCAGCUGUCUGAACUGUAAAACCUUGAAAAUCAAUUGGUCAGGCUGCCCUGAAAACACUGAAAAAGGAGGACACCAAGGUAAGCACUGAUGAUGCCAGUAGGGAGCCGGGUUCUCCCCCAGGCCAGCGCCUCGUACAACACGAAUGGCUGAAGUCAUUCCUGGCAGUGCUGCGACUGAUUGGCAGGUGAAACCAACUCUACCGCAUCCUUGCUUGUCAGACAGCUCAGCCUGGUCAAGGCAUUCAACUCGGUGAGGACGCACGAGCUGCCUUGGAGGGCAUCUCAUCCAGCAUUCCAUCACUGGCUCCCCACACGUUUCCGGGAAGAGGGCACAGGGAAGCCUGCCAACUCCUGCUGCAUCCUGACUUGCCAGUAGGAGAGAGGCGGUUCCAGUCUGCCUACCUAAAAGUCCCCCUGUAAUUUCAGCGGGUGGCCAUGGCACUCUUCUUGACUGCCUGUCCUAAGCUCUUGGGUGCUGCUGCUGGGGGCCGUUAAGGGAGCUGCCUGCCACACUCUGCAAAGGAGGCAGCUGCAUUUUAGUGCUGGGAGUUAUCACAUUAAAAAAAACUCAGACACGGACACCAUCCUAGUCACAGCUCCUGAAAGACAAAAAAACCCAGCACAUUAAAGAAUCACUGCGAGUGAGCAUGGAUGAGCACCAAAAGCAAAGAAGAAACGGGGGUGGAGGAGGAAGUGGCGCCCCUCACCUGAUUUAAUCACUUGGCAGGAGUUUUAAGAGCAGCUCCUCCACUCCCGUGAUCUGUGAAAGACAAACGAAGCAUUCAGCGCCACCAAGGAAAGGCUCGGUCACCUGCAGCAGCCUUCGGAUGAUUCGCAGCCCUGCACAGGAAGCAAUCCACCUACCAUCAAGUGGUGUUCGAUGCCCCAGAUGCGGGAGUUACUGUCUCGGUACUGCUGCCCCUCUGAAAGCUGCCACAUGUGCGGCAACUGGGAUGCAGGGAGGCGGCUUGGGCGUACCGCCUCACCCAGGGGGACCCGAACUCUUCUGAUCCGGGCUUUCAGGGUACCUGUCUCCUGGGGAGAAGGACAAGGUAGCAAAACGAGGAAAAGGGAGGGGAACAUUAAGAGUUGCUAAAAGGCUAAUGCCAAAACACUAAAGUAAUCCAAAUUAAAGAGUGCUGAGAAUCUUA